rnacentral:lncRNA from 1 species
CACAGACACACACACACACACACACACACACACACACACACACACACACACACACACACACACACACACACACACAUACAAACACAGAAAAUGUUGUUGUACUUUUCAUUGUUUAGUAGUUCUUAAGUACAUGUAAUACUUUUUUCAGGAGGAAUUACACUGGCUGAAACGACGAUACCAGUCUGUGAUCAAACCAUCAUCACCGUCUCUACCGGCUUUACUGAUACAUCCGUUAGCAUUAACGUUAAGUCACUUUGUUGCACCAAUUUUCCCAAGAGCACUAACCGCGAGCCGCCAAGAAUGUAGACAACAGCAAUAGGAAACGGCAAUAGAGCCCUCCUUUAUACUUUUGUAACACGCACUACCUUGGUACUUUGAGUGAUACGAAUACUUAUUUUUGUUUUUGAAGGUGUUAUCAUUUUUAUUGUAGUGUAAGACAGGAAGGUAUGGGAGAUAGAGGGGAAGAGACGCAGUAAAGGACCACUGGCAGGAAUCGAACCCCGGUCAUUGUGGUAAGGACUGGGCCUUAAUGGUACACGCUCUACUCCGUAAACCACCUGGGCGCCCGAAAUGAUUGUUUUUGAGCUGAUUCCUUUUUAUUCUAUGCUUCUCUUUAGUGUCCUACCUGGUGUACCACAUCUUCUUUUGGAAGACGGAGCAGAUGAAGAGGACAGGGAGACUGGCCAGCACAGGACUCAGAAUAAAACAAUGCCAAAAUGCUGGCUAUGCAUUAUUCACAGCGACAUUAAAACACACUGGGGCCACCAUGACCAGGACCCCGACACAUAGGCCCCUGUCUGGCUGGUCAGUGGCAAUCUGAGGCCAGAAGAAGACUGCUAUCGUUCACUAACCAGGAGGGCCACUGUGCUUGAAAGGUACUAAAGCAACGUGAUCUCCAACCUGACCUAUAAAAACAAUAACUAUGAUAAACAAUAACUUGUUUAUCAAAAUGACCCAAAAGGCCCCAUAUGGGCCCCCCCCACCCCAUAUUUCACCACAUCACCUAUCGGUAGGGGCUGACCUCAUCUCUAUUGAAUGUGAGCAUGGAGACAUUAUGCUUUGUGACUCACUUCCUGUAGGGCUAGAGUCCCCAAAUUGAUCAUUAUAAAAUAAGUGUCUAAUUAUAAGUCUAAUAAUAAUAAGAGUCUCUUUAUAAUAAUAAUAAUAAUUAUUAUUAUUAUACCAUAAAGAGACCGAACACACACACGUCCUCUUCUUUGAUUCCAUCUCUUUAGACCAAGAAUGUCCCUACAAGUCACACUGCAGACACAUUGUGGUUGUGUUUCCUCCAUCCAUUGCCCGCCCCCCCCCCCCCCCCCCCUCCCCCCUCCCCCCUUCCCCUAGUAUAUGAACUACAUCUGCCCUCCUGCGGCCUACAUCAGAUAACGUCCGUCCAUCAUGCCGUAUCUUUCGUCGUCUUACAACAGGACUACCUGAGCCAUGACGAAGGGCCAGACUCCUCCUACAUGAGGCACGUUGACCCGUCUACUCAACGUUGAGGAAAAAGAAGGGGAGUCCUACAUCUCAUAUCUUAUAGCAUCCAUUGCCCCAGUCCUAUUUUGACCAAAUUGUGAUAUCUAACCUAACUGUACUUUCUUGCUUCUGAUUCCCUUUGCCUAGUUGGCUGUAUCCUAAGCCAAUCACCGUGGUUUUUACAUUCCACAAUCACUAUCUAAGUCAUCUAUUUGACUUGGGCAUUUUUGACGCUGCAUUAAAGAUUAAACUUAUAAUAUGAUCCAGGCGAUUAUGCUAUGAGGCUAGCGAUCUGUAAAUGUCAGUGGGAACAUGGAUAGGGGCACAGGUGGCGAGGCAGUAUGAGAAACACGUGGUGGUGGUGGUGGUGAUAAAAUAAUGAAAAAAACAAGAAGACACCUGCUUUUGUGAAACCCAACCUGUUUCGGUGCGUUCCGGGGCUCACUGGUUUUGAGAGGCUCAGUUGAUGGUGUUGAUGUUGGAGGCUGGAUGUAUUAUGCAGUGCAUUUAAUGUGUCAACGUUCUAGGAUGGGAUGGUGGAUGACCUCAUGCCUAACAGUUCCAUACAGCUGCUGUGGAAGUUCAUGAAGAUCCUAUUCCAGAAGAUUAAGAGAGAAGAACGUUAGUCUACCCAUGAGUGAAUGGUUUGGAUUCAUCAUUAUUUAAUUUUCGUUCUCCUAAACUAUAUAUGAACUAUACAUUAACUAAAUAU